rnacentral:rRNA from 1 species
GACGAACGCUGGCGGCGUGCUUAACACAUGCGAGUCGAACGGAAAGGCCCUGCUUUUGUGGGGUGCUCGAGUGGCGAACGGGUGAGUAACACGUGAGUAACCUGCCCUUGACUUUGGGAUAACUUCAGGAAACUGGGGCUAAUACCGGAUAGGAGCUCCUGCUGCAUGGUGGGGGUUGGAAAGUUUCGGCGGUUGGGGAUGGACUCGCGGCUUAUCAGCUUGUUGGUGGGGUAGUGGCUUACCAAGGCUUUGACGGGUAGCCGGCCUGAGAGGGUGACCGGCCACAUUGGGACUGAGAUACGGCCCAGACUCCUACGGGAGGCAGCAGUGGGGAAUAUUGCACAAUGGGCGGAAGCCUGAUGCAGCAACGCCGCGUGCGGGAUGACGGCCUUCGGGUUGUAAACCGCUUUCGACUGUGACGAAGCGUGAGUGACGGUAAUGGGUAAAGAAGCACCGGCUAACUACGUG